rnacentral:lncRNA from 1 species
CAGAGGAGGGCAACAAAGCUGGUGAGGGGUCUGGAGCACAGGCCUUAUGAAGAGUGGCUGAAGGAGCUGGGAUUGUUCAGUCUAGAGAAGAGGAGGCUCAGGGGAGACCUGAUUGCUCUCUAUAACUACCUGAAGGGAGGCUGUAGUGAGCUGGGGGUCGGCCUCUUCUCUCGGUUGACUUGUGAUAGGGCUAGAGGGAAUGGCUUCAAGCUGCGCCAGGGAAAGUUCAGGCUGGACGUUAGGAAAUACUACUUCUCUGAAAGGGUGGUCAGGCACUGGAAUGGGCUGCCCAGGGAGGUGGUGGAGUCACCGAGCCUGGUGGUGUUCAAGGAGCAUUUGGAUGUUGUAUUGAGGGACAUGGUUUAGCGAGAACCAUUGGUGAAGGGUGAAUGGUCGGACUGGAUGAUCCUGUGGGUCUUUUCCAACCUUAGCGAUUCUAUGAUUCUAUGAUUCUAAGUACACUCAUUUUCUAAACUUAACUAAAAAGAUUUUCAAUACAGUUUUAGGCAAGUUACAAGAUAACAUUUGCCUACUUGUUAAAAAUUAGCUACCUUUGAAAUGUAUUGCAUCCUUCUGAAACAAAAUAAAAGAAAAAUCUCUGGUGACUUGUAGGAUUUUUUUUACAAAGCUCACAGAAUUCCUGGCAAAAAUCCAACUCUACAGGCUAUAAAACUGAAGGAAGCCAAAUUGCAAUAUGGCAAAAAAACAUAUACAUCUUAGACAAUGAAUGAACGAAAC